rnacentral:rRNA from 1 species
UACGUAGGGGGCAAGCGUUGUCCGGAUUUAUUGGGCGUAAAGAGCGUGUAGGCGGCCUGAAAGGUCAGCUGUGAAAACUCGAGGCUCAACCUCGAGACGUCGGUUGAAACCAUCUGGCUAGAGUCCGGAAGAGGAGAGUGGAAUUCCCGGUGUAGCGGUGAAAUGCGCAGAUAUCGGGAAGAACACCCGUGGCGAAGGCGGCUUCCUGGUCCAGCACCGACGUCAGGCACGAAAGCGUGGGGAGCAAACAGG